rnacentral:antisense_RNA from 1 species
GAAGAGGACCCUGGGAAGGUGGCUGCCGCUUCACUCCUAGAGUGAAAUCCUCGCAGCCCUGCCCUCGCGGGCGGAGCAGAGACGCCGCCGCUUGGCCGGUUCUCGCCUGUCACACAAAGCCGCCGAGGGUCGGCUGCGCCCCUGGCAAGGCCGUAGGGCUGGGGAUACUGAGUAUGACAGGCGAGGUCCCUGCUCUCAAGAACUUACGUGGGUGAGAAGGGGAGACGAGACAAACAGAUGGAGCAACUCAACCCAAAAAGGUUGGUCUGUAUGGUGACGGAAUGUGGUCUCCCAGUUUUCAGCAUAGCACUCAUUCAGCUAUUCUACUCUUCAGAAAGCAGGAGGGAUGUGCCCUAAAGUGGAUUAUUGAAAUGAUGAAAGCCACUGAGGAAGAGCCAGAGAAUUCUCAUAGCUGUGAUUAGACAUCAACCUGGGGCAUGCUAAACAUUUCAGCCUGGACACCCUGAGAAGAGCCAGUGCUAUUGGUGACAGCUGCUUCUGUGAGGGCUUUUGCUUGGCCAGAGAGGCAGGACCUUCUCCCUGGCAUUUUGAGGAGUGGUGCCGGGUGGGCAGUGACUGCACUAGCAACAGUCUAUACCAAGAGAAGGCUGCAAAUUCCCAGAGAAGAAAGGCAGCGAGGCCAAGAAACGCUGCCGCCGCUUAACAAGUGAAGACGCAUACUGGAGAAUAGGAACUGAACAUGCGAAGGAGUUUGGGCUUUACUGCCUUCUCUCCUAGCAUUGGACAGAUCUUCUGUGCUGUGAUUAUUCUCCAUGAAUCAUCAUCCAUAGAAAGUGACUGAGGCAAUAGAGAGUGAAUAAUGAAUCCCUCAAAUAGUCUUUUGUGUUUCUGCCUGGAGGGUUUUGGAAAUAACUUGCAUCUUAAUCUUUCCGACUUAGAAUCAUAGAAUUUGGGAGCUGAAAAGGACCUUCAUCAGGGCAUGUGGCCUCACAGAAAGACUGGAAGAAAAGAUUUGUGGGUAUGAGCCUCUGGUUCAUCACUAAAAAUAGCCCUAGUCUAACAUAUAUUGGAGGCUUUCCUUGUGUCAGGUACUCAUUUAUUCUUCCCAAACCUUGGGAGGUAGGUGCUGCUAUUCCUCCGUUCUGCAGAGGAGGAAGAGAGAUGAGGAGACAGUAGAUCACCAGAGGGCACCGUGAGGGGUGUGCUGGAAACAUCAUGUGGAACAGGCUCUGGUUCCAGAAUCCACAUCCUCUCGGUCAUUCCACUCCCUCAUCAAGUGGCUUUGGACAAGUAAUUUAACUUCUUUGGAUCUCAGUUUUCUCCUCCAUGAUCUCUAAAGUUUUAAAAUUACUAACAGUCUGCAUCUGCCACCCAAGCAUGUGAUUUUACAAGUCAGAAAAGUGUAGCGCAGAAAUGUUAAGUGACUUGCCCUAGGUCACCCAGGUUGCUAAGGGCAGAAUCAGCACAGAAACCCAGGCCCAGUGACCACUGCCCCCAGGCAAGACCUCCUUCCCUUCCACGGCACUUUGGCAGGUGUUCUAGGGGAAUCCAACUCCUUGCCUUAGAGGAGACCUGUUCAAUGAUAUCAGAUAGACUGGAGAUGUUACGUUUUGGUGUGGCCAAUCAUAACACCAGGAUGAGCUUAGGAGGCUGGCGAUAUUUGUCUGUCUAAGCACCUCCAACCUAUCUAUCUGUCUGCUGUUUGUCUAUCUUUCUCAGGUUAUGCAUAGUGAUCAAACCCCGCCUGGUAACUGUAGGGAAAGAGCAUGACUGGUGUGUUACAUCUACGCACGCCCCCUGGUGGUAUUUCCAGUUGUUUGUCCUCUUCAUGCAAAUGUUGCCACCUUGUGCCAGCUCUCUCACUCAGCUUCCUUCAUGACAACAGUGGUUGCAAUUCUGCUCCUCUCUCUGCCUUCCCCUGUCCUUGGCUCCCCAUGUCCAGAAUCUGAUCAUUUACUGGUGUGCACCCUGGGAUGUGAUGUGUGCUUUGGGAGGAGACAGGGCCCAACAGUAUCUCAGCUGUGCUCUGGUAAUCAGUGUGCACCACAUUACAAGCAUCCUCAUCCCAGUAUCCUCCCUAUUGAAAAAGAGAUGGGAAAGGGGUGGAUGUGUCAAUAAACACAACAUUGAAGGCAUCUGAAAUAGAACAAGGACAUCCUGGGUGAGGCAUU